AGAGCGAACGCUGGCGGCAGGCUUAACACAUGCAAGUCGAGCGGGCGUAGCAAUACGUCAGCGGCAGACGGGUGAGUAACGCGUGGGAACGUACCUUUUGGUUCGGAACAACACAGGGAAACUUGUGCUAAUACCGGAUAAGCCCUUACGGGGAAAGAUUUAUCGCCAAAAGAUCGGCCCGCGUCUGAUUAGCUAGUUGGUGAGGUAACGGCUCACCAAGGCGACGAUCAGUAGCUGGUCUGAGAGGAUGAUCAGCCACAUUGGGACUGAGACACGGCCCAAACUCCUACGGGAGGCAGCAGUGGGGAAUAUUGGACAAUGGGCGCAAGCCUGAUCCAGCCAUGCCGCGUGAGUGAUGAAGGCCCUAGGGUUGUAAAGCUCUUUUGUGCGGGAAGAUAAUGACGGUACCGCAAGAAUAAGCCCCGGCUAACUUCGCGCCAGCGGCCGC
rnacentral:rRNA from 1 species